AGCAGCCGCGGUAAUUCCAGCUCCAAUAGCGUAUAUUAAAGUUGUUGCAGUUAAAAAGCUCGUAGUUGAAUUUCGGGAUCAGUUGGUCGGUCGUGCCUCGGUACGUACUGGUCAAAUUGAUUCCUACCUUCUGACGAACCACGAUGUCAUUAAUUUGGUGUCGCGGGAAAUCAGGACUGUUACUUUGAAAAAAUUAGAGUGUUUAAAGCAGGCUCGCGCUUGAAUACAUUAGCAUGGAAUAAUGAAAUAGGACGUUUGAUUCUAUUUUGUUGGUUUCUAGGAUCGACGUAAUGAUUAAUAGGGAUAGUUGGGGGCAUUAGUAUUCAAUUGUCAGAGGUGAAAUUCUUGGAUUUAUUGAAGACUAACUACUGCGAAAGCAUUUGCCAAGGAUGUUUUCAUUAAUCAAGAACGAAAGUUAGGGGAUCGAAGACGAUCAGAUACCGUCGUAGUCUUAACCAUAAACUAUGCCGACUAGGGAUCGGAUGAUGUUAAUUUUUA
rnacentral:rRNA from 1 species